UGAUGCAUGAACAUGCUAAAAACUUGUAAUUUAUUUGCUUUAAAUCAUAAAGGUUUAUUCUACUCACCUCUGGCUAGCUCUGACCAAGACUGAAGCAGCUGACUCACUGCUGGGGUCCUCGGUUCCUCGGGUCCGAACCUACACAGGUGGACUCAAAUGAGGGACCAAACAACUAAAACAUAACUCUAAAAACAUCCCCCAAAAACCCCUUAAAACACCUCAAAACAAUCAUGCAAAAACAUGCAAAGGAAGGCUGAACAGGGCA
rnacentral:lncRNA from 1 species